GUCCUGACAGCGUCUGAGCCACCAUGGGAACCCGAGGUGACGUGUAUCCAUUGGGGCUCUGCAUCGCCCUGUGCCUGUGGGGCACCGUAGCCCAGAAUAACGGCACACAAGGUACCACUGAGGACUGCAACAACCAUGUGCUGUGCCCAGCAAAUGCCAAGUGUGUGAACAACACCCACUGCACCUGCCUGGAUGGAUACCGAACAAGAGAGAAUCACCCCGUCUUCUUCACCGACACAA